rnacentral:lncRNA from 10 species
GUAUCAGAUUAGCUCCCGAGAGCCAGAAGCUGUUUGCCUUUCAGUGGGAAGAUCCGGAGUCAGGUAUCACUACUCAGUACACUUGGACCCGGCUUCCCCAAGGGUUCCAGAGCUCCCCCACCAUCUUCAGGGAGGCGUUGGCUACAGACCUCCAGAAGCUUCCCACCAGAGACCUAGGCUGCGUGUUGCUCCAGUACGUUGAUGACCUUUUGCUGAGACACCCCACGGCAGUCAGGUGCGCCAAGGGAACGGAUGCCCUACUCCAGCGCCUGGAGGACUGUGGGUAUAAGGUGUCCAAGAAAAAAGCUGAGAUCUGUCGACAGCAGGCUGUAGAUAAAGGGGUUGAGCAUGGAGGUGACCACCGUGUACAUCACUGCAGCCACUGCACCCUUUCUGGGGGAAGAUGACACAUCUGAACUGAGGUACCCUCCAACACCUCUUCCAUAAAAUCAGCAAACAACUGACAGAGAUCAUGCAGCGGGAGCCCACGAUCGGUUUAAUCAUCACUCACUUCCAUUGGAUCAACUACAAAUCAACUCAGAUGAGAGUGCUGAGUCUCAGAGGAUGGACAUCUCACCCCUUGCCAUACAGAUAAGUAGAAAGGAUGGUAUUCAAAAUUAAUGGCCAGACUCUAAGUCCCAGAUACUAUACUUCAUGGUCUUCCAACUCUCAAAAAGUUGUGGGAGUUUUUUUUUGUUUUUGUUUUUGUUUUUUUGAGACGGAGUCUCAUUCUGUUGCCCAGGCUGGAAGUGCAGUGGAGUGAUCUCAGCUCAUUGCAACCUCCGCAUCCCAGGUUCAAGCUAUUCUCCUGCCUCAGCCUGCUGAGCAGCUGAGAUUACAGGCGCCCGCCACUAUGCCCGACUAAUUUUUUUCUAUUUUUAGUAGAGACGGGGUUUCACCAUGUUGGCCAGGCUGGUCUCGAACACCUGAACUUGUGAUUCGCCUGCCUCAGCCUCCCAAAGUGCUGGGAUUACAGGCGUGAGCCACCGCGCCCAGCUUCAAAAAGUUUAAAGCAGAGCUCAGAGGUCUUAACCACAGGUACAUCUGAGGAGCAUUUUUGAAACAGUUUCCAGCUUCCUCAACAGGAAGAGAAGCCAAAUUCCGAAUUUAUGACUCCUUUGAGGAAGUCGAGAGCUGUAAGGAAAGCCAGGAACAGGGGCAAGGGAGAGAUGCAUCCCGAAUGAUCCUGUGCCAAUUCUUUCUGGAAUCUUUGAUGUGAUCUCAGCUGCCCUUUCUAUACUUGACACAGUGAUUGUGGCACCCACUGGUCUAGCUGUGGUCUACAAGGAACCCCCAAAAGGAAGGGCACAGUGAGCAGGGGCAUCGGCCUGAGUGACAAGGAUUUGAGAGGGCAGGUUGGAUGCAGGGAGAGGACUGGCCAAAUGCCAUGUGUCUGGACUUAGGCUGCCUGGUUCAAACUGGACUUCACCCUUUUUGACUUCAUGAUCUGGUACAAGUUAUAUGAAAAUGCAUUGCUCCUUUUCUAGUCUGUAAAAUAAUAAUGAAAUGUGCACUAAUAACUGGGAGACUACGCAGAGGAAAUGAAACAAGCUGCAUAGACCACAGAGCUCAGAGCCUGGCCUUUAGGAAGCCCUCAGUAAGGGUUCAUGAUGCCAUGGUGUCUGUCAUCAUCCUCUUUAUCCUCAUCAUCACCUUCAUAAUCUUUUUAUUGUUCUUAGAGAAUAGUUUAGAGGGACUCAUUCCCUGCUAUCAUGGGUGAGAUGUCUAUGAAAAGGACAACCAGUGGGGGAGGAAAGCAAAAUUUUGAAUAAGAUUUCUGAGACCGCCCCCCCCCGACCAUAACCAAGAACAGAAACUCCACAGUCUGCUGAGCCGACAGUUUGCACGUUGGUCUCCUCCCAUCUGCCCACCGCACUCUCCUGUUUUUUUCCUGAGGAUGAGGAUACAAAACAAGGCUCCCAACCGUCCCUCAGCACUCACUGAACUGCCCUUCCCCUCUGCUGGGCCAUGACCACGGAGAACAAGUCCACUGUCCUCCCUGCGUGGUGCACGAUGGAGGCUCAGACUCCAUCCUCAAGGCUGGCAAGAAGACAGGGUGAGACAUGAGCCUCCUGAUACAGGUGAUGGGUGUGGAGCCCACAGGACUGGAACCUCACACUGCAGGGCUGGAGGCACAGACUAUUUACUAUUCUAUGGCCUGGGGGGCUCAAGGCACAGAGCUCCUCAUUAGCCAAAGUCGCCCAAGUUCCCCAACCUUUAAGGAUUUCCUCAUAAUAAUGCAAGAAGAAGAAGAGAAAAGUGAGUGUCCAUAGAAGCUUUGGGGCUCUUCCUCUAAUCAGGAGAAAGCUGCAGAAGUUCAUCAGCUAACUUCUUGGGACCUAGCACCAUGUGAAGACGCUCAAGCUAGACUUUAAAAUGAGAGACCCAGAGGAGAGACAGAAGCUCCACUAAAUCCAAAGAACACCUAGACUGAUCAACAACAGAGGAAGCAAGGACAGCAAAGGGCGCUGCAGAGGCCAAGAGGUGAGAGCACAGCAGGAGGGAGGAGCAAUGAAUGGUCAGCCACAAGUGCAUUUGGAGGCCAAGCCAUAGCUUGACCAACAUCCCAGGGGGUACAGAGGCGCAGGUUACCUGGAUGUGCAUGGAAGAGUUUCCCUCUUUGAGUGAGCCUUAAUCCAACAAGAACAAAGCUUUGUGUUGGCCGGGCACAGUGGCUCAGGCCUGUAAUCCUAGCACUUUGGGAGGCCAAGGCAGGUAGAUCACCUGAGGUCAGGAGUUCGAGACCAGCCUGGCAAACAUGAUGAAACCCUGUCUCUACUAAAAAUACAGACCAAAAAAAUUAGCUGGCCAUGGUGGCACACGCCUGUAGUCCCAGCUACUCGGGAGGCUGAAGCAGAAUUGCUUGAACCCAGGAGGCAGAGGUUGCAGUGAACUGAGACUGUGCUGCCACUGCACUCCAGCCUGGGUGACAGAGAAAGAUGCCGUCUCAAAAAAAAAAAAAAAAUCAAAAACUUCAUAGGAAUUGUUCAAGUUAGAUUUUUCUUUUUUUCUUUUUCUUUUUUUUUUUUCCGGAGAUGGAGUCUUGCUCUGUCACCCAGGCUGGAGUGCAGUGGUGCAAUCUCAGCUCACUGCAACCUACGCCUUCCAAGUUCAAGCAAUUCUCGUGCCUCAGCCUCCCGAGUAGCUGGGAUUAGAGGCACCCACUACCACACCCGGCUAAUUCUUCUAUUUUUUGUAGAGACAGGGUUUCACCAUGUUGGCCAGGCUGUUCUCAAAAUUCUGACCUCAGGUGAUCCACCUGCCUCGGCCUCCCAAAGUGCUGGGAUUACAGGCGUGAGCCACCGCGCCCCACCCGGCCAGAUUUUUCCAAAAGGGUUGCUUUUGUUGAAUGAUAAUCCAAUUGAAUAAAGAAUCUGUCCAUUUCUAUUAUGUUAGUCCAGCAAUAGAGCCGACCUGACAGUCUUCAGCCAUAACCACAGAAGCCAGCAUUACAACCCAGAAGCUAAAGUUCCAAAUGUAUAACAUGAUAAAAACAUAUCAAGAUAAGCUUGAUUAAUUUAGUAAAACAUUACCAGUCUCUCGGCCAAUACAGCCAACUUCCCAGCAGAGACAGCAAGUCAGGCCUUUAGGCUCCCUGGGUUUGGCCCCGAAUCCCCAUACCUCAGCCAACGGCGCAGCCUACUGACCCCAGUCUCUGGGUCAGUUCAUUUUAGACAACAGGGUUGCCGGGCUGCCACAGAGAUCAGCAAACAAAAUAGUCCACCUGCAAGGAACAGGCCUUCCUUGUGACAACCGUGCUACAGGAAAACCAGCCAAGUUGCCGGAACCACAGAGUACAACAAAGUUUGGGUAAAAUAGUUGUGGCAAAAAUGAAAUUCUGGGGCUACAUUUCCAUCCUGUAUGAAACUAUUGAACAUCCUUGGUCAACACUCUCUGUAGAGAUUUGUUUUAUGUAAGUUGUAGUUCCAAAAUGUGUGGGGUUUUUUGUUUGUUGUUGUUGUUGUUGAGACAGGGUCUCGCUCUGUCGCUAGGCUGGAGUGCAGUGGUGAGAUCUCAGCUCACUACACCCACUGCCUCCCGGGUUCAAGCGAUUCUCCUGCCUCAACCUCUCGAGUAGCUGGGACUACAGCUGUGCACCACCGCACCACACCAAUCUAAUUUUUUCUUUAUUUUUUUUGUAUUGUAGUAGAGACGGGGUUUCACCGUGUUAGCCAGGAUGGUCUCGAUAUCCUGACCUCGUGAUCUGCCCGCCUCGACCUACCAAAGUGCUGGGAUUACAGGCAUGAGCCGCCAUGCCCAGCCCAAAAUGUGUUUUUUCUAAAUCACUCUUUAAAAGAGUUUUUUAAAAAACUACUUUACUAAAAAAAAGUAAAUUUAAAUUUAGUAACAUGGCAUUACAAUCCUUGGGAAUAAAAUUAAUUUUAUGCUGUUGUCCUGACAAAGCAAAGGAAAUGCAUCUGAAGUGGCAUGGUUUGGUUUGGUUUUGUUUUUUUCUAAAAUUGUUCUACUCUUCCAAAGGGAAGGUUUUAGAAUGUUUCCCAAAGCAUGAAUGUUGGAAUGGUGGUCCCAUGAGAUGCUCCUCUAAAAAAAGAAGGAGGUGAAAGAAUUAUUUGGCCAAAUCUGCUUUGAAAUCCUCUCCCUUUUAGAUUCAUCCUAAUAUUGGCAUAGGAAUGCCUCUUUAAAGAACUACAAUAAAGAAGCCUGUUUAUCUUUGCUUAACACAGAAUCCUCAAGUUAUUAACCACCCUUUUUUCAAGUAACACCCAUAAAAGUCCCUUGGCGCUAGAGGACCUUGGAACCCACUGAAAGAAACACCGCCUUGGUCUCUGGGGGAGGAGAAGUGGGACAUAACUCCCUGCUUUCUGACAAAUGGUUUUGAAAUAUUCAUCAUUUCUCUCAAAUGACAAAGGAUGAAAUAUUGUUUCUACUUUUAAUUCAUUUCCCCUACAAUUCUUGUAACGUUUGGUUUGUAACAAAGACAUUUUAAACAAAAAGAUACAUUCAAAAUUGGGAACCAGCAGGCAGCAAAGGGUUCCAUUCACCAGCCACCUGUGCCUUUGAAGUGGUUGAGUCUGUUCCCAAUGUUUUCAUAGCCUUUGGAACGCCCUCCCAGGUACAAGAGCAUGCCGUUCAAAUUUUCAACCAAUUACGUGGCCGUGUCACUCUCCACUCCGCCUGCACGCUGGGAGAAAACGCAAAUCCAUGAAGGUGGUAUUUAAAGAAUUGACAGCCUUGAAAACAUUUUGGAAUUAUUUGAUUUCCUCACAAAACUUCAUUAUUGCUAAAUCCAAAAGAUGAGCCUGACAAUAUCUGUAAGUCUACCAACUGCCCUCCUUAAACUUUGUUGUUAACACUUCCCUAAAUCUUCUGUUCACGCCAGCAGCAUAUCAUAUGACCAACUCCAAUGUGCCUCCGUUAGAUUCUGGGACAUUUCUGGGAGUUCAUACAUUUUUGUUUGAGAAAGUUAAGGAGCUAUCAUACAUCUACAGUUCCGCCCUCCUCCCCACUCUAUGAUCAAAGGAAAAAUUUAAGGGGCAGUUCCACUUGUUCAAUAACGUUCAAUAACAUAUUUCUCCAUGGUCCUCCAUGUGCAGUGCAAAACAGCAGAAAUCCCCAUCCUAACAGAGCUGGCAUUUGAGCAGAUGGCUCGGGCAGGGAAGUUCCCAGCGAAUAUAGUGGCUCUUAUCAUGCAAACCGGUCCAAGAAGCAGACACAUCCACCUUGAGCCAGAUUUAUUUGCAAGGAAUGGGUUCAAAGUCAUGAAAAGAGGAGAGUUCACAUAGACUCAAUUUCAACAAAAAGUAGCUCUCAUAGGGGUGAAUGGGUUUAGGUUGCUCAAGAAGAGAGAGAUUCCAAAGAUGGAGCUUGAGUUGAAGCCCCCAGGAGCUCCCCCUGCAGAAAGAGCAGAGGCUCAGGCUGAGGACAGCUCCCUGAAUGGCCACCUGAAACCUGAAACCCGUGAUGGGAACGCAGAGGGGACCAUGGAGCAAAAACGCCAGGGAACUCUAUAUGGUGGAAAGGAGAUAGCCAGAUGUGGUGGCACACCCCUGUAGUCCCAGCUACUGGGGAGGCUGAGAUAGGAGGAUCACUUGAGCCCAGGAGUUUGAGACUAGAAUGAGCCAUGAUUGUGCCACUGCACUCCAGCCUGGUGAAAGAGUGAUACCCUGUUUUCAUAAGAAAAAAAUAACAAAAACAAAAACAAGAAAGGAGAGAGUUGGCUAAGCUUUAUCACCUUUGUGGGUUUGGAACCCUUACUUGAUCCUUCACUAAAGUACUUCUUGGGCAUCCAGUGAGGUUCAGUGUGUAUUGAGAGGAUGGUGAGGAUGGCAGCCAGGCGUGGGAUCUGUAUUCAAGAAGAAGCUGCCCCACUCGCUGGCCAUCUAUGGAUUUCCAGCCAACAAGCAUUUCCAACCACCUAUGGAUUUCCAACAACUGAGAACUCAUGAGACUGGCUGCCCAGUCUUUCCUCUCUGCCAGAGCAUGAAGAGGCCUCCAUCAUUUCAGGUUGAUGCUCUGGUUCGAGCAGAGCACACUCUUCAGUGGCUUCCUGAGAAAAUGUGCAAGACAAGUCCAUUUUCUGGCUCUCCAUAGAAGACCCACUUCACCUGCAGCCUCUCUGUGUUCUCAUCGGUACUCCCUGCUCACUCACCGCAGCCGCAGCUCCCUGGGCCUCCCCAUGGUUCCCCGACCACAGCAGGUGCGCUCCUUCCUCUGGGUCUCAGCACUUGUUCCGUGGCCUGGAGUGCUUCCCCCCCGCCCCCUCCCCACUCUCUCUAUUGCCCAUUCUCAUUCAGGUCUUUGCUCUAAUAACACUUUCUUGGCCGGGCACAGUGGCUCACACCUGUAAUCCCAACACUUUGGGAGGCUGAGGCAGAUGGGUCACUUGAGUUCAGGAGUUCGAGACCAGCCUGACUCAGCCUGCCCAACAUGGUGAAACUCCGUCUCUACCAAAAAUAUAAAAAAUUAGCCAGGUGUGGUGGUUGCGUGCCUGUAAUCCCAGCUACUCAGGAGGCUGAGGCAGGAGAAUCGCUUGAACCCGGGAGGUGGAGGUUGUAGUGAGCCAAGAUCACACCAUCACACUUCAGCCUUGGCAACAGAGCAAUUCUCUGUCUCAAAAAUAAACAAACAAACAAACAAACAAACAACACCUUCUUGGCAACACUUCCUGAUGAUUCCAUUUAAAAUUCCAGCCUUUCCCCUGCUCUCUCCAUGCACCCUCCCUGCUUUGCUUUGCUCCAUAGGUUGAACUGUGUCCCCCCCAAAAAAGACGUGCUAAAGUUCUAACCCUGAGUACUUCAGGAUGUGACCUUAUUUGGAAGUAGGAUCAUUGCAGAUGUAAUUAGUUAAAUUAAGACGAGGUCAUACUGAACUGGGGUGGGCCCCCAAAUCCAAAAGGACUGGUGUCUUCAUAAGAAAUUUGGAGACAGAGACGCGGGAAGAACACCAUGUGAUGGGACAGAGCUGGGCUGUGCAGCUGCAAGCCAAGGGACACCAGAUAUUGCCGGCCACCACCACCGGUCACCACCGGAAGCGAGGCGGAGGCAAGGACGGAUUCUCCUGCAGGUUUUUGUUUUGUUUUGUUUUGUUUUGUUUUGUUUUGUUUUUUUGAAGGCGGGGGUCUUGCUCUGUUGCCCGGGUUGGAGUGCAUGGCACAAUCAUGGCUCACUGCAGCCUCAACCUUCCAGGCUCAAGUAAGUCUCUUGUCUCAGCCUCCAGAGUAGCUGGCAUGCACCACCAUGCCCGGCUAAUUUUUUAAUGUUUUUGUAGAGAUGGGGAAGGGGGUCUCACUGUGUUGCCCAGGCUGGUCUUCAAUUCCUGCACUCAAGUGAUCCUCCUACCUCAACCUUCCAAAGUGCUGGGAUUAUGGGUGUGAGCCGCCCCACCCGACCCCCCUACAGGUUUCAGAGGGAGCAUGGCCCUGCCAGCACCUGGGUUUCCUACUUCUGGCCUCCAGAACUAUCAGAGAAUAAAUGUCUGCUGUUUCAAGCCACCCAGCUUGUGGUAUUUGUUAUGGCAGCCCCAGGAGCUAAUACACCAUCUGACAGGCUCUAUUUUUAAAUUG